rnacentral:rRNA from 1 species
GAUGAACGCUGGCGGCGUGCUUAACACAUGCAAGUCGAACGGAAAGGCUCCUGCUUGCAGGGGUACUCGAGUGGCGAACGGGUGAGUAACACGUGGGUGAUCUGCCUGCACUUCGGGAUAAGCCUGGGAAACUGGGUCUAAUACCGGAUAGGACGAUGGUUUGGAUGCCAUUGUGGAAAGUUUUUCGGUGUGGGAUGAGCUCGCGGCCUAUCAGCUUGUUGGUGGGGUAAUGGCCUACCAAGGCGUCGACGGGUAGCCGGCCUGAGAGGGUGUACGGCCACAUUGGGACUGAGAUACGGCCCAGACUCCUACGGGAGGCAGCAGUGGGGAAUAUUGCACAAUGGGCGCAAGCCUGAUGCAGCGACGCCGCGUGGGGGAUGACGGCCUUCGGGUUGUAAACUCCUUUCGCUAGGGACGAAGCGCAAGUGACGGUACCUGGAGAAGAAGCACCGGCUAACUACGUG